GUGGCCUAGUGGUUAGGACAUCUGCCUCAGAUGCGAGAGGUCAUGGGUUUGAUCCCCCAUUGAUUCA